rnacentral:sRNA from 1 species
UUGAGCCGGAUGCCAGCCAUGUGCUUUGCUGCACGGGCUGGCAUGGCCUCGUGUUGUGUUGGGGGUCUCGCACCUUCUGUGGAAAGUGCCCUGCCUGGCAUGCGCGGUGUCUGCUGCCUCAUGGCUGAGCUUCCAUCAGGCCGUGUGCCUGUGACCAGCCUCCUGGGCUCUGUCACGGCUGCGCUGUGGCUGUGUGGGGCUGCAGGGCUGUUCAUGGCGUGACCCGAAUCCUUUCCAGGAGCUUCGAGAACAACUGGAACAUUUACAAGCUCCUCGCCCACCAGAAGCCCCCCAAGGAGAAGUCUAACUUCUCCCUGGCCAUCCUGAACGUGGGGGCCCCAGCGGCUGGCAUGAAUGCGGCUGUGCGCUCGGCGGUGCGGACUGGCAUCUCCCAUGGACACACAGUAUACGUGGUGCACGAUGGCUUUGAAGGCCUAGCCAAGGGUCAGGUGCAAGAAGUAGGCUGGCACGACGUGGCUGGCUGGUUGGGGCGUGGUGGCUCCAUGCUGGGGACCAAGAGGACCCUGCCCAAAGGCCAGCUGGAGUCCAUUGUGGAGAACAUCCGCAUCUACGGUAUCCACGCCCUGCUGGUGGUCGGCGGGUUUGAGGCCUAUGAAGGGGUGCUGCAGCUAGUGGAGGCUCGCGGGCGCUACGAGGAGCUCUGCAUCGUCAUGUGCGUCAUCCCAGCCACCAUCAGCAACAACGUCCCUGGCACCGACUUCAGCCUUGGCUCCGACACCGCUGUAAAUGCCGCCAUGGAGAGGGAAGGGUGGGCAUGUGGAGGACCCCGACCCCCUUGUCCCCCAGAGCUGUGACCGCAUCAAACAGUCUGCCUCGGGCACCAAGCGCCGUGUGUUCAU